rnacentral:rRNA from 1 species
GAGUUUGAUCCUGGCUCAGGAUGAACGCUGGCGGCGUGCCUAAUACAUGCAAGUCGAACGCUUCACUUCGGUGAAGAGUGGCGAACGGGUGAGUAAUACAUAAGUAACCUGGCAUCUACAGGGGGAUAACUGAUGGAAACGUCAGCUAAGACCGCAUAGGUGUAGAGAUCGCAUGAACUCUAUAUGAAAAGUGCUACGGGACUGGUAGAUGAUGGACUUAUGGCGCAUUAGCUGGUUGGUAGGGUAACGGCCUACCAAGGCGACGAUGCGUAGCCGACCUGAGAGGGUGACCGGCCACACUGGGACUGAGACACGGCCCAGACUCCUACGGGAGGCAGCAGUGGGGAAUAUUGGGCAAUGGGCGCAAGCCUGACCCAGCAACGCCGCGUGAGGGAAGAAGGCUUUCGGGUUGUAAACCUCUGUCCUUGGUGACGAAGGAAGUGACGGUAGCCAAGGAGGAAGCCCCGGCUAAAUACGUGCCAGCAGCCGCGGUAAUUC